rnacentral:lncRNA from 1 species
UGCCAAGUGAGUCCUCCGUGGCUGCAGACAGCACAAUCCUUCACCCACACCGUGAACUCCCCAGAGCCUCAGGCGUCCGUGCCUUCCUUCUUUAAGACGCAGCCAGUCAGGAUCUCCUCCCCUGCUUCUGGGGGGAGGGGCCGUGGAGGCUAGCCCUAGCCAGCCUUCUGAGUGACAAGCCAGCAGCCAUAUUAGAGUGUGGGGACCGGCUGUGGAAGGCUGUUUGAUCAGAGUGGAAUUAUAGCAGUUCAUUUUCUAAAGUGCCGGGAGACCCGGGGAUGAACCUGCAGGGAGAAGGGAAAACCACAAGUGCAGCACCUCACAGAGAUGCAAUUCAUCACCGGCAUGACAGCUCCUGUGUCCCCUUCUUCAGUGACGUCAUUCUCUGCUUAAAAUUCUCCUGUAACAGGAACAAAAUUCUGACAUUGCAAGUCUUCAUCCCUUCCUUGACCCACUCCUUACCAGGACGACUGGGCUUCCGGGAGGGCGGGUCAAGAGAACUUUCAAGGAAGUUUUCUGUGUGUUGUUUGACAAAAUUGUACCCCACUUCCCCCAGCCCAGCUCCUGGGUCCUAGCCAGAGAGAAGUUGGACACUUCAGCGUGCCCCCUGCCGUCCCAAGGUCUGCACCAGCCUCCUCUCUCCAGGGCCUUCUCUUCCCUGCACACGCAGAGCUGCAGGAAGAUUCCUGAGGAAGGGAGGCGCUUCUCUACUCCGCCCAGUUCCACAUCUGUGGCCUCUUGAACUCGUCCCCAGGCUCUCUCCUGCUUCUCACUAGUGCUCCCAUGGUGCCACCUUGGUCCCCGAAUCUUCCUUGCACCGUCACACCAGCUGCAGCUCCUGUCAUGUACACACACUGCCACAGUACUCACCACCCUUUGUUGUAACUGCCUGAGUAUCUAUCUGUCUGCUGAGGCAUGUGUGGAAAAUGUCACAGAUUCACAGGGCAGGUAGGAACCCCACAAACUCUCUUAGCCCAGCCUGCUCAUUUCCUGGUAGAUUCAGUCAUUUUCUUUGAAGAACUUACAAUGCAAGUUGCACAUCUGCAACUUCCUACCAUCACACACUGUAUGUCUCAUAAUCCUCCAACCUCCAAAAUCUCUUAAUAUUCAGCCUUAAGUCAUAUCAUUUCAAAAGAACACCAUUAUUCGGGAAUAAAGGUAUUUUGUAGUGUUGAAGAUCACAAUUCAGCUCUAUUCUUCCUACCCUCAGGCCUUCUGUUAUUCAGACAAAAUGAUCUUAAUUCCUUGGAACUCUUCUUUGGAGAUAUAAAAAUUGGAGACAUCUUGAUAGAUUUUUUUUUUUAAUUGGAGAUUUUUGCCUAAGAAUAUUCUGCCCUCAAAAAUUUUUUUUGGCAUUUUCCCACGAGAUUCAUCUAGAGAAUAUAAUUGUUUAAUAAAUGUGAGCAAUGGAGAUAAUCCUCAGGCUCAACUCCUUGGUGUGGAUAGAGGAACGAGGAGCGAGAGCAGGGUUCUUUCCUCUUGGUGACACAGAAGAAAAGUCGGUGAGAGAAAGGAAUUUGAUUGACACAUUUCUGGGAAUGAUCUGCCAUCCUCUGUGCUGACUUUUUGGGUCCCACUUAUUCCAGCUUUCAAUGAUCAAGGUAACAGCUCAACUGUGUACUGGAUCAUGGCAACGAGGAAAUGGGUCUAACCUGGCUAGUAAUCAGCCCAGCUGAGUCGACACGCAUGGAAUGGCAUUCAGUUCUCCUCCUUACAAAGUUGUGUGUCUAGUGAGCGAGGGUUACAACUGAAAGCAGCCAUGUUAUAUCACUCACUAGAUUCAGCAAAAAGCAGCAUGAUGACUGAAAAGGUCACAAACCUGAGUCUUGGCCCUGGUUGAGUCCCUCCCACUACAAAUGACCAGCAGGAGGACUCUCUAAGGAAGAACCUUGUAACAGAUUUCUGUACAACAGCAUCGAGAUGCUAUAAGGAGAAGUUAGAUAUCGAUGGAAGUAACCUGAUCCCCAUCCCUGGAAGAAACCUCCUUGAAUGCUGCUUGUCACAGAACCUGGUAAAUAUUUUCAGGCUGCAGCAUUUGCGGUUGGGAAAGUCAAGAAGCAAAGAUUCCUCGUUCUGGCCCAUUGAAAAAUAAGUAAAGUAUGAAAUAGAUGGGUGGCCUCAUCACAUAUACGUUCUAUAACCAAGAUUUUGGAGUUGAAAACAGUGGAGACAACAUCAUAAAAGUUACUUCAGUGAAAUGUAAAUGUGCUUCCUUGGUUCAUACAGACGCAUGCAUGCACACAGACACACGCAGGGCUGGAAUGAGUCAAAGGCUUUGUUGUCAAAAUCAAGAGAGUGUGUGGUGCUCAGUGGAGCCAAGCAAAUCCAGAUCAGAGCCGACGCUGUCCUGAGGGCCACCCUGGAAACUGAGAAGCAGAAGACAAGCUCCAGAGCCUGCUGUUUGGAUUUACUGAGCUAUUUGCCCGGAGGAAGACUUACAUUCUUGAGGCAUGUGCUUUCUUGCAUCUUUCCUCACUCAAGCAGUCUCUUCUGCCUAGAGGGAGGAUAAGACUUCACAGGAGGAGACUGACAAUUCCAAGGGUUCGGCGCGCAGAUUCCUUCCAUGAGGUGUAAAUACACAUGGGCUGUACAGAGUAAGAAUCCCCCAGCUAACAGCAGGAUUUUUUUUUUUCUGACCUUUUGUCUUCAUUCAGGCAGGUAUUUAGAACUUCAGUCAUUACAGAUGGCAAAUAUUUGUCUAGACUUUUCUUUCUUUGUAUGAAAAUAGUUUCUUUUGUUAGUUAUUCCAGGAUUUUACAUAGUAUUUUCCCCACUGGAGAAAAAUCAAUGACACAUAUGCAAAUGAAACCCUCAUAUUCUCUCUGUCUCUCUGUCUCUCUCUCUCUCUCUCUCUCUCACACACACACACAUACACAACAGCACUGGCUUCUAGUUCAUUUGGCCAGCCAGGGAAGCUGGAGUGUGCUUUCUUUGGAUGUCCCCAACUGAGCUGGAAGGGAGUGGAUUGUCUACCAGGCAAUACUUUAUUCAAAUUGAUUCAGCCGUUAAUUGCUCUGUGGUUUCUGACUAAUUUCUUCCUUUCCUUUGGUGCAGUGCAUCCUCUCAAGGAAAGAGAGGUUUGAGGGUUACUUAGCAGCUUCACAAAUUCCAUUUGCUUAAAAAUGUGGAGACACCACCUAGAUUCCAAAAAAUGAAAGAGAGUUACAAAUUCUAUCGCUCCAGGGAAGUGCAGCCAUCCAGGUUCGCACAUUCCAUCCAAGAACUUCGGGCUGAGCCAGUUCUCCAGUCAGAUAAAGGAACAAAGCCUCUCGUUUGGGCACCCAGAUACCUGAUUUAAAGGACUCAGGGGAGAGUAUAUCAGAGCGGGAACAGAGGAAGUCUACAGACAUAUUGGAGACUGACUCCCUGAUUCCGAGCUCUGCUUUUGAAUGUGUUGGGGUCCCUUAUAAAAGUAUAGGUUCUGGGUAAAUUCUGAACCAAACCUAAGAUAGCUGUGGUUGACUGCAGCUAUAUUCACUAGUUAAUCUCCAGCG